CAGUAGCCACGGGAAUACGUAGGUGGCAAGCGUUGUCCGGAAUUAUUGGGCGUAAAGGGCUCGCAGGCGGUUUCUUAAGUCUGAUGUGAAAGCCCCCGGCUCAACCGGGGAGGGUCAUUGGAAACUGGGAAACUUGAGUGCAGAAGAGGAGAGUGGAAUUCCACGUGUAGCGGUGAAAUGCGUAGAGAUGUGGAGGAACACCAGUGGCGAAGGCGACUCUCUGGUCUGUAACUGACGCUGAGGAGCGAAUGCGUGGGGAGCGAACGGGAUUAGAUACCCCGGUAGUCCCUGUCUCUUAUAA
rnacentral:rRNA from 1 species